CUUUCAGGAACAAGAAAAAUGUGGAGUAACCAGACAACUGCAAAUGGAUCUGUUAUGUACAAACUGAUCCAUGCUUUUUUCUCCUGGAGUUUUCAUCAUGGAAAGCCAGUGAGUGCUGGCCCUGGAACAGAAUACAGAUUCUGCUACAAAUUGUCAGCAGAUGCACUGUGCAGCUCAUGUACCACAACUGCACACAAAACUAUAACCUCCAAAAGCUGGAAGCCCAGUUCGUGCCUGGAUUCUGCAAUGAGGAAUGAAGAAUUCUGUGUGGAAAGCAAGAACUUCUGAUGAACACAUCUGUUGUACCUGCCAGACUAAUUUAGGCAGCAUUUCAUACCAUGGAACUCCCAGACUUAGCCAAGAUUGUCAAAAUGUAACAGAGAAUCUGUAAAGAUGACAAGUUGCCAAGAGCAAGAUUCCUUCCUUGUCCAGAAGCUGACAAAUUUGUUUCUGUCAUCACCAUGCAAUGACAUUGUCUCAGGUCAGAGGGGAUGGAGAAGAGAUUUUGCUUCUGCUUGAGCUCCAGCCUGGUCACAGGUGUACAUGUUACAGCUCUGGACUCAGUAGCCUGGGGCAAGCCCAGCGCGAAGCUGCCUCUACCCAAUCUUCAGAGAGCUUGCAAGGAAGAGUCUGCAGCAUUCAGAAAAACACCAGAUGCUUAUUUAGUGGCAGCUUAAAAAGAAAAAAAAACCAACAAAACAUCUUCAACCAUCUAUGAUAUAUAGAG